rfam:Oryza barthii chromosome 5, whole genome shotgun sequence.
AAAAAGACAAAUCCUGGUUUCCGUGUCCAACGUUUGACCGUCCGUCUUAUUUGAAAAAAUCAUAAAAAAAAUUUAAAAAGACAAGUCACGCAUGCAACAACAAUGAAAAUAUGAAUUAUAAUAAAAUUUCAUAUAAGACGAACAGUUAAAAUUUAACAUGGAAACUCAGGGUUUGUCUUUUU